CGGAGGAAAAGAAACUAACCAGGAUUCCCCCAGUAACGGCGAGUGAAGAGGGAAAAGCCCAAAUUUGUAAUCUGGCUCUUUCAGGGUCCGAGUUGUAAUUUUGAGAACUGUUUUCAGUGCUGGACCAUUUCUAAGUCUGUUGAAAAAUAGCAUCAUUGAGGGUGAUAAUCCCGUUCAUGAUAUGGACUACCAGUGCAAUACGAUACAGUUUCUAAGAGUCGAGUUGUUUGGGAAUGCAGCUCAAAGUGGGUGGUAAAUUCCAUCUAAGGCUAAAUAUAGGUGAGAGACCGAUAGCAUACAAGUACCGUGAGGGAAAGAUGAAAAGAACUUUGGAAAGAGAGUUAAAAGUACGUGAAAUUGUUGUAAGAGAAACAUUUGAAGUUAGCCUUGUGCUUGUUAGUUCAGCUCUUUAACUAGGGUGUAUUCUGACAAUGUCACGGACCAACAUCAGUUUUUGGGUGCUGGAUAAGGGUCUUGGAAAUGUAGCAGCCUUGGCUGUGUUAUAGUCUAGGAUUUUGAUACAGUGCCUGGGACUGAGGAAUAUUUGCAGCAAGCCAGUCACAUGGCUGCCCUUUACAAAGGGCACCCCUGCUGAGGAUGUUGGUGUCAAUAGCUUUAAAUGACCCGUCUUGAAACACGGACCAAGGAGUCUAACAUGCUUGCGAGUAUUUGGGUGUUGAAACCCUGAUGCGAAAUGAACGUGAAUGUAAAUGGGAUCCUUUACUGGUGCACCAUUGACCAGUCCUGAUUAUUUAUAUGAAGGUACUGAGUAAGAGCAAGUAUGUUGGGACCCGAAAGAUGGUGAACUAUGCCUGAAUAGGGUGAAGCCAGAGGAAACUCUGGUGGAAGCUCGUAGCGAUUCUGACGUGCAAAUCGAUCGUCAAAUUUGGGUAUAGGGGCGAAAGACUAAUCGAACCAUCUAGUAGCUGGUUCCUGCCGA
rnacentral:rRNA from 1 species